CAAUAGGAAACAAAACUCAUUUUUUUGGAAAAAGUUUUAAAAAUGUUGAAAAUUAUUUCAAUUUAAAUAGGUGCAAAUGAAAAAAAAAAGAGCAUAUUUCUUAAGACAGGUGAGCCACUGUUAUAGGUGAGAAGUUAUGAAGAUACAGGAAAAUUUAAUGUAUGUCUGUACGCAACAGUUAAUCAUUGCUAACGAAAAACGAUUUUGAAC